UACGUAGGAUGCAAGCGUUGUCCGGAAUUACUGGGCGUAAAGCGCGCGCAGGUGGUUUGUUAAGUGAGACGUGAAAUCUCCCGGCCUAACUGGGAGGGGUCGUUUCAAACUGGGAGACUUGAGGACUGCAGAGGUGGGUGGAAUUCCUGGUGUAGUGGUGAAAUGCGUAGAGAUCAGGAGGAACACCGGUGGCGAAGGCGGCCCACUGGGCAGUCACUGACGCUGAGGCGCGAAAGCUCGGGGAGCGAACGGG
rnacentral:rRNA from 1 species